rnacentral:rRNA from 1 species
UCGGAUUCCGCGCCGCUGCAGAGUUUGAUCCUGGCUCAGGAUGAACGCUAGCGGCAGGCUUAACACAUGCAAGUCGAGGGGCAUCGCGGGUAGCAAUACCUGGCGGCGACCGGCGGAAGGGUGCGUAACGCGUGAGCGACAUACCCGUGACAGGGGGAUAACAGAUGGAAACGUCUCCUAAUACCCCAUAAGAUCAUAUAUCGCAUGGUAUGUGAUUGAAAGGUGAGAACCGGUCACGGAUUGGCUCGCGUCCCAUCAGGUAGACGGCGGGGCAGCGGCCCGCCGUGCCGACGACGGGUAGGGGCUCUGAGAGGAGUGACCCCCACAAUGGAACUGAGACACGGUCCAUACUCCUACGGGAGGCAGCAGUGAGGAAUAUUGGUCAAUGGGCGGAAGCCUGAACCAGCCAUGCCGCGUGCGGGAGGACGGCCCUAUGGGUUGUAAACCGCUUUUGAGUGAGAGCAAUAAGGUUCACGUGUGGACCGAUGAGAGUAUCAUUCGAAUAAGCAUCGGCUAACUCCGUGCCAGCAGCCGCGGUAAUACGGAGGAUGCGAGCGUUAUCCGGAUUCAUUGGGUUUAAAGGGUGCGUAGGCGGACAUGUAAGUCCGAGGUGAAAGACCGGGGCCCAACCCCGGGGUUGCCUCGGAUACUGUGUGUCUGGAGUGGACGUGCCGCCGGGGGAAUGAGUGGUGUAGCGGUGAAAUGCAUAGAUGUCACUCAGAACACCGAUUGCGAAGGCACCUGGCGAAUGUCUUACUGACGCUGAGGCACGAAAGCGUGGGGAUCGAACAGGAUUAGAUACCCUGGUAGUCCACGCAGUAAACGAUGAUGGCUGUCCGUUCGCUCCGAUAGGAGUGAGUAGACAAGCGAAAGCGCUAAGCCAUCCACCUGGGGAGUACGGCCGCAAGGCUGAAACUCAAAGGAAUUGACGGGGGCCCGCACAAGCGGAGGAACAUGUGGUUUAAUUCGAUGAUACGCGAGGAACCUUACCCGGGCUCGAACGGCAGGUGAACGAUGCAGAGAUGCAAAGGCCCUUCGGGGCGUCUGUCGAGGUGCUGCAUGGUUGUCGUCAGCUCGUGCCGUGAGGUGUCGGCUCAAGUGCCAUAACGAGCGCAACCCUUGCCUGCAGUUGCCAUCGGGUAAAGCCGGGGACUCUGCAGGGACUGCCACCGCAAGGUGAGAGGAGGGGGGGGAUGACGUCAAAUCAGCACGGCCCUUACGUCCGGGGCGACACACGUGUUACAAUGGCGGCCACAGCGGGAAGCCACCCAGUGAUGGGGCGCGGAUCCCAAAAAAGCCGCCUCAGUUCGGAUCGGAGUCUGCAACCCGACUCCGUGAAGCUGGAUUCGCUAGUAAUCGCGCAUCAGCCAUGGCGCGGUGAAUACGUUCCCGGGCCUUGUACACACCGCCCGUCAAGCCAUGGGAGUCGUGGGCGCCUGAAGGCCGUGACCGCGAGGAGCGGCCUAGGGCGAACGCGGUGACUGGGGCUAAGUCGUAACAAGGUAA